UCUUAUGGAAUUCGACUUAAAUAAGUUAAUUUCGAAUUCAAUUUAAUUAUUUGAUUUGAUUUUGAUUCGUUUGGCUGUUCGAUUUUAUUGUGCCAAUAAUAUCAAUCAUCAUCUAGUAAUUUUUUAAUUAUAUUAUAUACCAAUUGAAAUGAAUUCAAACUCUAGUUUCGUAUUAUAAUUUUAGUGUGAAUUCAAGCUGACUCCAGAAUAGGCUGGCAUUGAAUCCCUGCCUAAACUAAACAACGAAAAAUAUCAUAUUUUGAUAUUUUUAAUAAUAAAAUGGCUUGUGUGGUUGAAAAAGGAUAAAUAUUUACAAAUUGGUGUUAGUUGCUUUGGAUUUUAUAAGACAGGGUGUUCCUGAAACAUGGCCAGCCGUGAUGGUAUAGUUUUGCUUCUCUCUUUUCUUCUUCUUCUUCUCUCAUCUCAUUACUUGGAAUAAAAAAACUGAACAUUCUCUAAAGCUGCAUCACUUUUCCCGAGCAAACAAAUGAACACGAGAGCUUAUGUUCUUAUAUUCUUCUUCUGGGCUCUUCUCACAAUCGUCACUCCUACUCUUAUUCUCCUGUCAGAAUCUUCCAAGGCCGACUUUGAUCAAAAUGGGAAAGUGAGUGAAGGAGUAAUUAACGCCAGGAAGAUGAUGACAUAUUUAGAGAAAUAUGCAAAGACCCUAGCAACUCAGUGGCCGGAUGCGGCACCGGCUCCGGCUCCGGCACCGGCACUAGAACUAGCUUCGAGAACUGAAAAGCUCUUUCAAAAUUAAGAAACGAGACCGCCAGGGAGCCCCCUCAGGUUUGGAAUUGAAGAUUAUUAUUAUCAAGUGCUGAAGCUGAUCAAUGAGAUUAUUGUAGCUGUAAAUAGCCCAUGUGUGCAUACUGAAAAAGAGCCAUUUUAUACGUUAUUGUUAAAGUUAUAUUCCUUGCUUCGGCAAAAACUAGGAGAUGAUGAAAUUGGUUGCUUAUAGCAUUCUUUCUUUUCUAUUUGAAAUCUUAUAGCUUGUAAACAUGGCUGCUCCUGAAAAUCCAUAGACCAAGUUAUACAUUUUUAAUAAAUAGAAGAACAGUUGGUGCAGGCGCAGACUCUGGAACCUUGCAGCCGACGCUCACUAUCUGUAACUUCUUCUUCUUCUUCAAUAAAAAACAAAUUCAACAUAAGAGAA